rnacentral:rRNA from 1 species
UACGGGGGGGGCAAGCGUUGUUCGGAAUUACUGGGCGUAAAGGGUGCGUAGGCGGCUUUCUAAGUUGGAUGUGAAAACUCUGGGCUCAACCCAGAGACUGCAUCCAAAACUGGAGAGCUUGGGUUCUGGAGGGGAAAGCGGAAUUCCUGGAUGUAGCGGUGAAAUGACGUAGAUAUCAGGAGGAACACCGGUGGCGAAGGCGGCUUCUGGACAGAUACCGACGCUGAGGCAACGAAAGCUAGGGGAGCAAACAGG